rnacentral:rRNA from 1 species
GUGUCAGCCGCCGCGGUAAUACGUAGGUGGCAAGCGUUGUCCGGAUUUACUGGGUGUAAAGGGCGUGUAGCCGGGAGGGCAAGUCAGAUGUGAAAUCCACGGGCUUAACUCGUGAACUGCAUUUGAAACUGUUAUUCUUGAGUAUCGGAGAGGAAAGCGGAAUUCCUAGUGUAGCGGUGAAAUGCGUAGAUAUUAGGAGGAACACCAGUGGCGAAGGCGGCUUUCUGGACGACAACUGACGCUGAGGCGCGAAAGUGUGGGGAGCAAACAGGAUUAGAUACCCUGGUAGUCCACACCGUAAACGAUGGAUACUAGGUGUAGGAGGUAUCGACCCCUUCUGUGCCGCAGUUAACACAAUAAGUAUCCCACCUGGGGAGUACGGUCGCAAGACUGAA